rnacentral:rRNA from 1 species
UUCAGGGGUAAACCUGAGAAACCCGAAAGGUCGACGGGGAAAUUCAUUGCGUUUCGGCGUUUCGGCGUCGGAUGGYGGAGUGACGUGCGGCUCACGGGCCGCGCGCGCCCUCCGUUCGACGACCGAUGCCGAACGUGUGCACUUUUCCCCUUGUCGGACGUCGCGAUCCGUUGGGUGUCGGUCUAAGGCCCGCGGUGGAGCCCGGUCGGUUUUUCCGGCCGGACCCGCGGUGUUUCCCGACCGACUUGCUCGACGGUAUGCCAAAGGCGCAGAGCCGCGAYUCAGUUCGCGACCGGCCCGGGGCAAGUGCGAACGRUGUGUCGGUGAUCGGACCUGGUGCCGAUCCUGAUCYCGUUCGGCUGUGGCCUCGGUGUUCUCGGUUCGACUCUGUUGAAACGCCGAUCGGCGACGCUAUAGCUUUGGGUACUUUCAGGACCCGUCUUGAAACACGGACCAAGGAGUCUAGCAUGUGCGCGAGUCAUUGGGACACUGAUAAACCCAAAGGCGCAAUGAAAGUGAAGGUCAGCCUUGCGCUGACCGAGGGAAGAUGGGCGAUCCUCGUGGUCGUCCCGCACUCCCGGGGCGUCUCGAUCUUAUUGCAAGAUGAGGCGCACCAAGAGCGUACACGCUGGGACCCGAAAGAUGGUGAACUAUGCCUGGUCAGGACGAAGUCAGGGGAAACC